GUCGCAGUCUCUUCCUACAUGUAAAAAGAAGGACGUUAGGAUGACGUCACGGAAUUUGUUAGGGAUCGUUUUCACUGCUAAGCUGUUCUUUGAACCGGAGAGGACGAUAUGAAAAUUUGUAAGAGGAAAAUUCAUUUGACAUGUAGCCUAUGACAUAAAGAAAAUGGAAACUACAACACACCGGACUUAUGUCAUAUAUGAAAAAACGACUAUUGAUGAACUUAACCUGUCAUCAGUUUCUGGAAAAGGUUGGAGUUCUCCUUGCCAUGGUAUUCAUAUAAUGGGAGUAUCAUCAAGAAGGACAAACGAGGUACCUCGUAAGAGGCUAAUGAAAUACUGUUGCGAGCCAAGUGGUAGACAGGAAAGUGUGCACUACUGAUCAUGAGCCUGCCGUCAAGCCCAGAAGUUGUAUGACUCACGCAGUUAUCUUGGAGAGUUUGGAUUUCAGUCAAGUUUUUCCCUACUUCAGCUUUUAAAAAUAAUAGUUUCAGCUACAUUGCAUAGAUUGGAGGCAUUUGCCUAUAUGAAUCCUAAAGAUUCUUCUAAUAGUUGAAAAAGGAGGCACUAUGCUUACAGAGUUCGUCAGUAAAAUGUUUUUAUUGGGAAAACAAAUAGCUAAAGCUAGAAAUUAAGUUAAAGUAUAAUACUUUUUGCCAAGUGAACAUCACGACAUUUAUUGAAAAGUGAGCACUGUAAGACUAGUGCGUGUAAGUUUAACUUGAUGGGAGUUGUUUAGGCCACAUUUAAUUACUAGAAGUAUCUAUGGUCGGUUCACUAAAGGUAAAUUCUUUUGCCUACGAGAUGUUUAUUUGGCGGCCUCUGAUUGGCUGGUACUGGGAGGUAGGCCGCUCGCUCAGUCUCAUUAUUUUCGUCUGCGGCUUAGAAAACUAGCAAUAUGUUUAUAUUUCUUCAAUCAUCUCACGCUUUGCUCAAGACAUGAAAGCUUUGGUCAUACCAAAGGAUUCGGUAUUAAUUGUACAACUAAGUCAACUUUUCCUGAAACCAAUAAGAUAAAACACAAAGGAAUUACAACGAAUAAAAGUGAAGAGGAAACAUUUCAUUCUUUAAUUUAUCAUUGGAUUUUUAAUAAUUCAUGUCAUCAAGAUAAAAAUAAAACUUGUGUUUUCAUGCAAUACAAUCACCCUGAAUACGCUGGUGCCUUUAGAUGCGUGUAAUAUGUGAAGAGAAAAUUAAGAAUGUCUUAUUAUGUUGCAUCCAUACUUGAGUCAGCCUGAAAGGAAGUCAAUCUUCCUUAAUUCUUUGUUGUUUAUUACUUCACUCAAAAAAAGUCUAUGAUAUCUCUUUCGUUUGAAAAAUAUAUUCAUAUAAUAAAAUUAAAAACAAUAUUCUGAAACGACGUAAUUAAAGCUUAGGCUGAGUUGAAAAGUGCUAAGUAUGUUCACAGAGUUCAACUUCUUUGCUGGACUGUAUUCCCCGCUUCCCGCCUUGAUCUUGGCUAACGUUACCAGAUGCAUCCAUCUGAUUAUUGUUAUUUUCCUUAUCAGAUAUGUCCAGACAUACUGUAAGAUAUUGGAUAGAAAAUGUAUGGCAGUCAUAAUGGGAAUUCUGUGUAUUUAAUUACAGAUAAUGUCAUGAUAUAACAUGGUAAAUAAUGUCGAAACUGCAACCUCUUAUAUCGCUAAUUGGCAACUCAAAUCUCUAACUGAGACGAUUAACGCAACGACGCCUUGCAGAUCUUAUUCUCUCGGAAAUACCGUCAAACUUGAAUCAUUUACGGAUGCAACAUAAGACAUAUUCUUUAUUUCCUCUACACGCAUCCAAAAUCUGAAAGCACCAGCGUAUUCAGGGUGAUUUUAUUGUGUGAAAAUAAAAGUUUUAUUUCAUCUUGAUCGUGUUAAUGAUGCAAAAUCCAAAUCAUAAGUAAAAACCGGUAAAAAGAAUCAAAUACUUCUCUUCUCUUUUACUCGUUGUAAUUCCUGUGUUUUUAUCUUAAUGAUUUCUGAAAAAUAUGACUUAGUUGUACAAUUAAUACCGAGUCCUUUGGU